CUUGCUCCUUUUGACGUUAGCGGCGGACGGGUGAGUAACACGUGGGCAACCUACCCUAUAGUUUGGGAUAACUCCGGGAAACCGGGGCUAAUACCGAAUAAUCUCUUUUGCUUCAUGGUGAAAAAUUGAAAGACGGUUUCGGCUGUCGCUUUAGGAUGGGCCCGCGGCGCAUUAGCUAGUUGGUGAGGUAACGGCUCACCAAGGCGACGAUGCGUAGCCGACCUGAGAGGGUGAUCGGCCACACUGGGACUGAGACACGGCCCAGACUCCUACGGGAGGCAGCAGUAGGGAAUCUUCCACAAUGGGCGAAAGCCUGAUGGAGCAACGCCGCGUGAGUGAAGAAGGUUUUCGGAUCGUAAAACUCUGUUGUAAGGGAAGAACAAGU
rnacentral:rRNA from 1 species